UACGGGGGGGAGCAAGCGUUGUUCGGAUUUACUGGGCGUAAAGGGCGCGUAGGCGGCGUGACAAGUCACUUGUGAAAUCUCCGGGCUUAACUCGGAACGGUCAAGUGAUACUGUCGUGCUAGAGUACAGAAGGGGCAACUGGAAUUCUCGGUGUAGCGGUGAAAUGCGUAGAUAUCGAGAGGAACACUAAGGGCGAAGGCAAGACUCUGGACAAGUGCUGACGCUCAUGCACGAAGGCUAGGGUAGCGAACGGG
rnacentral:rRNA from 1 species